rnacentral:rRNA from 1 species
GAUGAACGCUGGCGGCGUGCCUAAUACAUGCAAGUCGAGCGAACAGACGAGGAGCUUGCUCCUCUGACGUUAGCGGCGGACGGGUGAGUAACACGUGUAUAACCUACCUAUAAGACUGGGAUAACUUCGGGAAACCGGAGCUAACACCGGAUAAUAUAUUGAACCGCAUGGUUCAUUAGUGAAAGACGGCUGUGCUGUCACUUAUAGAUGGAUCCGCGCCGCAUUAGCUAGUUGGUAAGGUAACGGCUUACCAAGGCUACGAUGCGUAGCCGACCUGAGAGGGUGAUCGGCCACCCUGGAACUGAGACACGGUCCAGACUCCUACGGGAGGCAGCAGUAGGGAAUCUUCCGCAAUGGGCGAAAGCCUGACGGAGCAACGCCGCGUGAGUGAUGAAGGUCUUCGGAUCGUAAAGCUCUGUUAUUAGGGAAGAACAAAUGUGUAAGUAGCUAUGCACGUCUUGACGGUACCUAAUCAGAAAGCCACGGCUAACUACGUG